rnacentral:rRNA from 1 species
AUUGAACGCUGGCGGCAGGCCUAACACAUGCAAGUCGAACGAGUGGCGGACGGGUGAGUAAUGUCUGGGAAACUGCCUGAUGGAGGGGGAUAACUCCUGGAAACGGUAGCAAAUACUGCUAACCAUCCUAUGUGCCCAGUUGGGAUUAUCUAGUUGGUGGGGUAACGGCUCACCAAGGCGACGAUCCAUAGCUGGUCUGAGAGGAUGACCAGCCACACUGGAACUGAGACACGGUCCAGACUCCGACGGGAGGCAGCAGUGGGGAAUAUUGCACAAUGGGCGCAAGCCUGAUGCAGCCAUGCCGCGUGUAUGAAGAAGGCCUUCGGGUUGUAAAGUACUUUCAGCGGGGAGGCGUUACCCGAAGAAGAAGCACCGGCUAACUCCGUGCCAGCCGCCGCGGUAAUUC